CCAAAUAUAGUGGAAACAGGUGAACACGGCUGAAUUUGCCAGGCGUUCAUAAUAGGGAAGCACGGUGUGAAUCCGUCACGGUCCCGCCACUGUAACCGGAAGGCCGAGAGCUCCGAGCUUUCGGCACGAUAUCGGCUAAGGCCACUGUCCGUCACGCGGACGGGAAGGCGCCGAAUAUCGCAUUUUCGGGAGUCAGGAGACCUGCCUGUUUUGUCUCACGAAA
rnacentral:ncRNA from 1 species